GUUACUUCUAUGAGGCUUUUGUGCUUUUUUUUUCUCCCCCUCUGCAGGGUGUGGAUAUAGGGCAGGGGCCUGGGUUGAACAGUUUAAACGGUGACCAAGUUACUUGUUUUGAUCAUUGGAUCCUCUUCCUUAUACGUCACUCUGAAGUGAAAAUAGUGGCACUAGUCAUAAAAUUCCACUCCAGGCUUGGCAGGUUUAACCUGGCCUUGGUUUUGAAAUCUCUGUAGCAUCAAAUGUGAUGCCAGAUCUAUAUAGACAGAGCAUGACAUGUGAGUUCUCUCUUUUUCUGUUCGAUCAAGAUCGCGUCAAAGAAAACCCAACCUCUGUGCGAAGGCGGAGUCCAGUUUUGCUAGAACAGCUGAAAAGAAUUUAACCCAGUAUUGUCAGGAUAACGGCCUCAAUGUCUCCUCUCUGCACAAUUUCAGUUGAGAGACCCCCUCGCCCCAAACCUCUGUGGGUGAGUGAGCAAAAAGUGCAGCGGAAAAAGACUCAGAACUUCGUGGAGGAAGGGCACUGUGAAAGUCAAAAUUGCCACAACCACCUUUUGUGUUUGUAUCUCUCUCACUUGGCAGAAGACCGAUGGCCAGGUGGACCCAGGUUCCUGGUCAUGCAGGAACAUCUGAUGCUUCCCCUGAGGCAGCCCACUGUUGUGCUUGUCAUAUCACUUGGGUGCCUGUAGACAUCUGUAUGCUUCUCCAGCUGCGUGGGAGACACACUUCACCUUGUGGCUCCUCCUUUCAAAGGUUGCAUGUGCUGUAUGGAGGAACAGUUGACUUUGCUGAUAGAGAACGUCUCAUUGCACCCCCUUUCCACACCAUCUGUCUGACCUGGACCCAUUCCAAACACUACGGCUUUGCUGGCAGAAUGGUCUUCCUGCUACAGAAGUUUUGUAAUCUGCUAAUUGACAGGGUAAGGAAAAUUUAUAUUUGGGUUACAGCUGAAAAGUUGGAUGUUUCUUUGAUGGGGCUUUAAAUACUGACAUAUGCUGCCUUGGUUUUUGAUUUUAGGCAUCCCCGUCUGAGCACAAUCACGCACUCUCCCCUGUGUUCUCUGCCUCAUUGAGAAUAUGGCAGCCUUUGGAGAAGAACACCAAUAUGAUCUACUAGGGAAUUAUCAUCUACUUAGUUUACUCAUUAAGCAAUGAUUUUAUUAUUAUUAUCUCUCUGUAGUAUGAGACAGAUGGCAAAGAAGGAGUUUGCUUUAUUGAACAAGAUGCAGUAUUGGGCAUGGCACAGCUCCCUGAAUGGUUAACAUCUUCUGCAGUCUAAUAAGCAUCUUCGCUUUUGUACAGGGUCUGAUUCUACACUCAGCUGUUAAUUUAAGUGCAAGGCUGUUAUCGGUUCUUUUUUUUUUCAGGGAUAGCGUCUCACUAUGUGUCCCCAGGUUGGAGCACAGUGGGGCUAUUCACAGAUAUGAUCACAGCAUACUUUAGCCUCUAACUCCUGGGCUCAAAUGAUUCUCUGCUCAGCCUCCUGAGUAGUCAAUUCUUUUUUUUCUAUAGGUGGGCUGAGGACAGAAAAAUCCUAAAGAUGGAAGUAUCAUUAAAAUCGUGCUGAUCCAGUUGAGGUUUGUGGUUGCCCUCAUCUUGCAAUUGUGCUUUAAAACUCAGUGUGAGCAACCCCCACUGAAGUGAGUACAGUUAUGCUUACUGAUCCAGACCUGAGUCCUUCAAAUGGGGUCCUCUGUGUGCAAAAGCUACAUGCACACGCUUCAGGUGGUGCACGAGUGUGGUAUAACAUCGUGCUUCGGGACUCCUGGGGCCCCUCUCUCAGUUGCAGCCCCCUCAACCUGCCUUUGAACAAUAAUCAGCAGAAAGAGGAGAAUGAAAGAGAAGAAAGAAUUUCUUCCAUACCUUUCAAAACUUCAAAGAAGUUGUUCCCAAUCUGUUUCUGAUGAUUCUUGUCUCAGUGCAAAGCAUGUAUAAAUAUCUGAAAUCUGCACACUGAUCGGAAAUAGUUUUUGGGAAGUUGGAUUUAAUCCCAUGAGCCAAAUGAUCACUACCAACAGCGAUCAGGGAAAACCAAAGUUCACAGCAAAUUUUAAUUUGGCAAAUGCACAAAAUGUUCAAAAGAGCAGAGGUCUCAUUUACAUUCUUCUCUCUUAUAUGGGAUUUUCUUCUAUAUUAGUAAUUAAAGGGUGCAGGCUAUUGAGUGCAACUAUAUCGCAUAAUAGCCAUCGGGGGACAUACUAACAACUUCCUUGAAGUAACGCACACUAGGGUGUUUAUGGUUCAGUGUCACAUAGACUCUCUUUGAUCUAAAUUAGGAUUCAUUGGCAAACUCACAAUAGGCUCCACAUGUACCCCUCUCAACCUCUUUCUUUUAAUCAUGGAAAUUAGAGAUGGAAAAUACCCAUUAAGUCACUUAGUCCAUUUCCCUGUUAGGGCGAAAUUGUUGCCUGUGAUACAUGGGUAGUGCCUGGUCCAGCUUAAAUGUAAACGUCUCAGGCAGUGUGCAGGCUCCUGAUUUUAUCAUUUUCUUCUUUCUCUUCAGAGAGGAAUUCAGAGGGGAAAAAAAUAUAAAACAGAGGGAGAGGUUUCCUCCCCUCCUUAUGGGUUGGAGGUAAUGGUCAUGGGAUGGGCAAAUGUGCUCAGAUGCUGUCAUCUUUCUGGAAACCACACCUCUUGCUAUGGCAGUUCCAUCACUUGUGACGUACACAGAUAAUUCAGUCCCGUCCCCAACAUGUUUUACUCUUCAGCUCAACGGAAUGAUUCCGAUUCCUGAAAUAUCCUGUAAACUUGAGUGAGCAAGUAUUCCAGGUUUGGUGGGGAGGACGAGGCCCAGGAAAGGAGAACUGGUCUCUUUUAGGCUCCCUCUUUGAUGAGUUCUAAAUGGCACAGCCCUCCCAAGUGGAGUGUGAAGUCACGGGUGCAGUGUGAGUUCACGACUGGGUCACUGCCUAUCUUAUUCUGGGAGGUGGCCAGGGGAGGUAUUUUUAUCCUUUGAACAUUUGGCACCUGAAGGAUGUGAAAUAUGUGUCAUUGCACAGUGAAUUCCCUCCCUGACUCAUGUUCCGCAACAGAAGGGAAAUUGUCACUCAGCAUCUGCCCACAUCUCUAGCUGUUGAAGUGAGGUCUAUGGGAAAGCUGCAAAAACCCAGUGACCAACUCUCCAGCGAGAUCUCCAGGGGACAUAUAGCAGUGGCCGAGAUGAGACUUUGAAAGGGAAAUCAGGAGCCAUUAUUAGGUUUGCAUUUUGAAUUUGUUUUAGAGAUAUUCUUUUAAUCUGUUAACAUCACUAGUGAAAUUGUACUGCCUUAGGAAAAUCGGAGAAGUGAACAUUUCUAAUUCUGAUCCAGAUGUGUUAGAGUGUGAUUGUUCACAUUAUAAGAUGGAUGUCUUACCUCCAUAAUUCACUGUGGGUUUCAUUCAGUGGGCUUGACUCAUGCAUCUGAAGGAGGAUCAGGUUUGCAAAAGACAACAUACUUAUUGAGAGGCUUCUGAUUGUCUAAAGCAAUGGCAGGUUUCUAUUAGACAGAAAAAGUGCUUAUAUUCACAGAGAGAUCACGUUCAGGGCUUCUAUCAUGUGUAAUGUAUUCCCAAGAUAUUUCUCGUUUUUUUUUUUGGAGGCAGAGUCUCACUCUGUCACCCAGGAUGGAGUGCAGGGGUGCUAUCUCGGCUCACUGCAAACUCUGCCUCCUGGGUUCAAGCGAUUCUCCUGCCUCAGCCUCCCAAGUAGCUGGGACUACAGGUGUGUGCCAUCACACCUGGCUAAUUUUUUAUUUUUAGUAGAGACGGGGUUUCACCAUGUUGGCCAGGCUGGUCUCAAACUCCUGACCUCAGGUGAUCUGCCCGCCUUAGCCUCCCAAAGUGCUGGGAUUACAGGUGUGAGUCACUGCAUCCCGCUGAUAUUUCUUAUUUUAAAUCCCCUUGGGUGGUAGUAUAUAAUGAGUCUUUGAAUGGAUACACGCAUACGAAAUCAGAAUCAGUUCUAACUCGAUGGUCUAGAGUCAGAAUCUACUGAAUGCAAUUCUGAUAUGGAAUCCUAUCCUCUGCUAAUGAAAAUCUCAAGUUUUAAGGCAGAUGUGGCAGAGGCUGCUUGUUGUUCUCCCAGUAACCAGUCUUCCUGAUUUUUAGUGCCUGCAUUUCCCACCCACCAGCAUGGCUGGAUAACUGUAUUCUGGCCAAUGUGAUGUAGGGGGAAGUGGCGCAGGACAUUCCUGGAUGGUGUCCUUAUAGAGCACCAUGGAAUCCCCUGCUCUCCCUCACUGUCAGCUGGAAAGCGGCCGUGGUAGCUGCAGCUCUAGCUGCCACUUUAAAUCCCAGGGAUGAGGAUCACAUCCUAGGAACACCUGGAAGGUGCCUGAGCCCAUAUAAUUUCAUGGAGUGUCCAGACUAACCCUAGAGACCCUUCCUCUGGACAUUUUUGUACAUGUAUAAAUAAAACCUAGAACAUUAAAGUCACUGUUUUCUGAGGGGUUUUGUCGCCCAAAUCUAACCCUAAAGCUAAUUUUGUCAUUGGUCUUAAUCCUUAUUUUUUUAUUUGUGCUUUGUUUUUUUUUGAGACGGGGUCUCACUCCGUUGCCCAGGCUGGAGUGCAGUUGCAUAAUCUCAGCUCACCACAAUCUCCAUCUCCUGGGCUCAAGCCAUCUUCCCACCUCAGCUUCCUGAGUAGCUAGGACUACAGGCAGAUUUUUGUAUUUUUUGUAGAGAUGAGGUCUCCCUCUAUUGCCCAGCCUGGUCUCAAACUCCUGAGCUCAAGCUGUGUGCCUGCCUGGGGCUCCCAAAGUGCUGGGGUUACAAGUGGGAGCCACUACACCUGGCCUUAAUCUUUACUUUGAUGCAUACUUAACACCUUGUUACAAAGUCUAGGUGUUUCAGUUUCAGUUGAUAGUCAAUCCUGGUUGAUAGUCAUGUUACAUUUAUUACUCAGUUGAUAAUCGUGUUACAGUAGAAAUCGUGUUUCAUUUACUCCUCUGAACAUGACCUUGAAAGGUUUGCAGAUAAAGGUGCAUGAAAGAACCCCAAACUUACAGAUUCCCAAAAAUGUGAUUAGGCAAAAUAACAAGAUAGACAUUGAGAGUGGGAGGCCUUGUUCAGUUUCUUGCAUCCAUUCUGUUCACAACAUGUAGAAAUGUGUACUUUCAUUCCAUAAGGGGUUUAAUGAGAACCCAGGCAAAAAAUAAUGGUUGCUAUAAAUAGAAUUAAAGAGUGAGGGCAAGGAAAAAAACAUGAGUCAGGACCAGGUAUAGGUAAAAAUGAAUGGAGGGACAGAUAGGUGAGUUCUGAAG
rnacentral:lncRNA from 1 species